GGUGUGGAGUGGAGCUUGUUGUUGGUGUGUGAAGAAACUCUCCUUAGAUCACAUGACCUGGAUGACUGAACCUACAGACAUAUUGACCUGGUUUCAUGGUCACAUGACAGACUGACUGAAGAUGAUGAUGGAGGAAGAG